rnacentral:rRNA from 1 species
GACAGAGGCCUCAAGCGUUAGGCGGAAUCACUGGGCUUAAAGCGUGUGUAGGCGGACGCCUAAGUGUCUUGUGAAAUCCCCCGGCUCACCCGGGGAACUGCUGGGCAUACUGGGCGUCUUGGGCCAACUAGGGGCAACUGGAACAAGCGGUGGAGCGGUGAAAUGCGUAGAUAUCGCUUGGAACGCCGAAGGUGAAAACAGGUUGCUGGGGCUGUGCCGACGCUGAGACACGAAAGCCAGGGGAGCAAACGGG